CUUCAAAUAAAAUUAUGUUUAAGUUAAUUAAAGAUAUAAAAAUAGAUGAUGGACAAAAUGAGAAAUUUUAUUUACUUUUUUAAUGAAUGAUUAUCAAUUUGGGUAUUAGUGAUCAUCUCCCUAAAUUAGAGGAGUAUUUUUAAUAGUGACACGUUUAAAAAAAAUGUUUAUGUAAUUAAUUCAAGGUUGGAGGAAAAGUAUAUAUAAAUUAAACUUAAAUUUAAAUCAAAUCUAUAAAAUCCAAAUAAAUGACAUAUUUUUACAUAAAUGCAAAAUUAAUGAUUUUUUUUAAGGCAAAAACACCUAGGCCUAUAUUAAUCUAAGCAUUAUUUCCACGCUUUUACUUAUAUUAACAAAAAUGAUCUAACACGUAUCUAAUUGCGAUUUGACAUAGCACUGAAUAAUCUUUGGUACUUUAUUAAUUUUGAGAACGAUUUCUCUGACGUUUAGUGCGUGAAAUAUAUUUUUGCGUACAUCUUACGCAUUUUCGUAUUUGGGAACAAGAUUCAAAAUAGAGAUGUUAAUGGCUACGUAAAUCUGAAAUUUCAUCUGAAUCCGAAUAUGAACAGAACAGAUUUAUUCGAUAUGGAUAUCAAAAAUAAAAACCCGAUGAAUAUGAAUUCGAAUAUGGAUUUGGCCUGUAUCUAACUUGAACCCAAAUUUAUUUUACAUUAUACAUAAUAUGUAUAUAAAAAUUUAAUGCUAUAUUUGAAUUUAUAUUUUAAAAUUUUAGAUUUGAUGUAAUAUAUUUUAAAAUAUUGAAAGGAAAAACUUCAAAAAUCACCCCUAUGGUUUCACACUUUCUCAUUUUAGUACUCUGUGGUUUAAAAUGUAUCACUUUCGUACCCUGUAGUUUUGUUUUUCUCUUUUUAUUAUUCCUUCCAUUAAUUUUUUUUUGUUAAAUCAAUGAUAAAUUAAAACUAAAGGAUACUAAAGUGAAUAUUCAAUAAAUCUAGUGGGAUAUCUAAAAUUUUUUUUAUAUGAUUUAACAAAAUGUAAACAGAAGGACUGUUGAAAAUAGAAAAAAAUCACAAGGUACUAAAUUGAUCAAUUGUAAACUACAUAGUACUAAAGUGAGAAAAUGAGAAACCACAUGGAUGGUAUUUGAAGUUUAUUCAUUGAGUUGUAUAGUUUAUAAAAUAUUGUAGAAUUUAUUUGUAAGCUUUUUUUUUUUUUUUUACUUUAAUCAAUUUAUAGCUAUGAUAAUUAUAUGAAGCCCCAUAAUUAAACCCGUAAAGAUAAACAGCACAUUUAAAUUUUUAAAUUCAAAAUUUUAUUAUUGAUUAACUCAAAUCAAAUAAAUUAAAAGAUUCGAUAGUAAAAUUAAAAUGUGCUGUUUAUCUUUACGGGUUUAAUUAUGGGGCUUCAUAUAAUUAUCUAAAUUAUUUAUAAAUUGAUUAAAUUCAUUUAGUAAAAUAAAUAUUAUUAGUUAUUAUUAUAAUUAUUAUUGUGAAAAAAUGAUGAGUUUAUAAUUCAAAUUUACCUACCUAGUAUGUAGUUGAUUAGCGAGCUUUAUAUUAGCUUGAGUCAAAAUAAUAUGUAGUUGAUUAGCCAGUUUUAUAUAAGUUUGAGUAAAAAUAAUUAAGUGACGUAAUAAAAGGCCUAAUAAUUUAAUAGAGUAUUCUGAUUUGUUGCAAGAUAAUAAUUUAUCUCCCACGUUGGAGGAUUUUUUUUUUUUUUCCUUUUUAGUGAUGCGUUCCGAGGAAUAGCUAUAAAAUAUGAGCAAUGCUUUGUGUACCCAAGAGUGUACCACAGUAUAAAUUUUUCUCACACUUAAUAUUAAUUUCUAGCGUGGUUUGUAUGAUUGGUGUUCUCGUUACUAACCAGUAAAGUGUUUGCCUGUGUGUUUCAAAUUUUGUUGAAAAUGUUUAUGAUGUGCUGUCAACUAAAAUUGAAGUAGUGUCGAAAGCAGCCAAAUUUUUCUUGGAUAUGUUCCCAAGAGAACGAAUUCAGAUAUUUUCGGACUUAGCAUUGAUUAUUUAAACGAUCCACUUCAGUUCUGACGAAUCCGAGUCAUUUGCUAGAAUGAAGCUCAAAACGCUUCAGUCCUUCGUCGACGCAUGUCACGCCUUCUCUUUUGGAUGGGAUUCUCACUUCUCCAGAAAUGUUAUGCAAGCUGAUCAACUAGCCAAUUAGGUCUGUCUAGCAAAAAAAUAUAUAUAUAUACUGUGUAGUCCUCUUUUGAGGACUUUUUUAUUUCUAUAUCGUUUCAUUUUAUUUAAAUAAUGCCGGCGAACAAAAGAGCAUAAUCUUGCUACUAAGUUUAAAUAUUUCAGAGUCCAUCCAUACACUCCAUUACAUAAAACUUAGGGAAAAUUUCUUCAAUACCCUUCCAAGUAGUUCUAAUUUCAUAAAUACCCUUCAAAAUUUCAAAAUUUCAUAUUUUGCCCUCCAAAAGUAUGGAAAAGUUUCAAAAAUACCCUCACUGCUAGCGAUCUGUUAUAUUAGCUUCAAAAUACCAAUUUUACCCUUUAUUUUAAUUUAAUCACCACUCUCACAAUUUUUUUUUUGAAUAUAUGGAGACCCCCUCAAUUACAACCCAUUGUGAAAUAGCCUCCUAAAUUUAACUUUUUAAUUAAAGUCUUCUUAAAUUUUAUUUUCUUAAAUUGAAUGAUUUUUUAUUAUUAAAUUAGAGAUUUUAUCUAAUCCAUUAAUGAUUCAAACAAAUUUAAUAAUUUUAAUAACUUCGUAGUAUAUAAAAUUAAAUAAGUUUCUGUUCAAAAAAAUAAAAUUAAUAAAAACUUCAAGGAUUUACUUAAAUGACCUAUAGUUGAUAGUUUUAGUAUAAAUAUCAAAAAAUAAGUGAAAAAAGUUUGAUUUUUAAACAAAAAGUGAACAAAUUAAGUUUAAAAUGGUAAUUUCAUAUUUUGAAAUAAAAUAAAAAAAUGCUAUGUUGACGGAAGUUAGCAAAAAAUAACGGUGAGGGUAUUUAUGAAAGAAAUAUUGUAUUUAGAGGGGUAUUUGUGAAAUUUUAAAAAGUAAAAGGAUAUUUAUGAUAUUUCAUAACUUUGUGAGGGUACAAAUGAAAUUAACCCAAAAAUUUAUGUUCAAAAGAGACUAUAAAAAUGAUAGCGAAGCAUACACUAAUUACCAAAUGUCAUAUACACGAAGCAGACUCAUCAAUUAUAUUUCGAAGUAUAUUUUAGAUACGUGUGUGGAUUGUACUACACUAGAUAAGAUCUUACAUUAAUCAAUGCAUGCAUGUUGCUAUUACUUGUUACAAUAAUCCAUUCAGAUCUGUGGUGACAAUUACACCAACAUGGGCACAAAUUAGGGAAAAAAAAGAAGAAAAAUCUCUCAUUACUCCAAUCAAAUCAAUUGCUUCAUCUCUUCAACUGUUUUCCUACCUACCAUCCUCUAUUAACAACUAAAACCAUAAUGGAGUUUUGAGUGAUUGGGCACAAAUUAAGAGUUGGGAGAAAUGGAGAGCAAAAAGGCUUUUGCAGUAGCUUUUUCUCUGCAGAUUCUCUCCUUGGUCUCCUCUCUUGAUAGGAGCCAAUUCCCACCACACUUUCUAUUUGGGACUGCAACUUCCUCUUUUCAGGUAUGUACUUCAAUCUCCAGGACCCAAAAAAAUUUAAUGUGAGAUGUGAUUCUUAAGAUUUUACCAUGCAAUUUCAUGUUUGUGGAUGAGAGAUUUUAGCAAGAUUUUUUCGAUAAAUAUGAUAUCGGAGUCAGUUAUAGACUAUUACCUCUUUUGUCAGUGCACGUGCCAUGGUUCACCUUCUGUUCACUCUUGCGUAGUUACUUAGUCCUUGUACUUCUUCUAUUCUUCUUUCUAGAUCGAUCUUUUGGGCGAAAAAGGGUGAGGUGCUUAAAUGUAAAUAUAUCAGAUGAUCAAAGGUUUCUCAAAAUUCCAAUCUCCCAUUUAUUGUCCCUGGUUGUAAAUUACUAAGAAAUAAUCAGAAUUCAUAGCUAUUACAGUGGAGCUUUUGGCGGCGAAAGCUCGAAGAAAUUCUCUUCAAUUAAUUGAUACAAGAUUGAUUUCCUUUGUAAUCGACUAGUAAAAGAUAGGCAACUAUCAAAUGCAUAUAAAAAAAAAAAAAAAGAAGAUUCUUUCAUUUGGCACUUGAUUUGCUGAAUAAUUUUAUUGAUUAUACGAAGCAGAAGUAUUUCUGAUUCUGAGUUGUAACAGCUCUGAACAUAUUUUACUUUCUUAUUUCAAGAUAGAUACAUAGAAUUAAACGAAAAAUUGCAUCAAUUAAGGAUAUGUAUGUCAGUGGAUCAGCAAGUUUUCAAUAAAAUCAUCGAUCUAUUAGACAUCAAGUAUGAAAUAACAACUCCAUCGCGUAUCUUGUGCUUUUGUUCCCCUUUUUUUUCAGAUUGAAGGUGCAUACUUAGAAGGUAAUAAAGGCCUGAGCAAUUGGGAUGUUUUCAGUCACAUUUACGGUAAGUGUUGCAUACAUCUUCUAAUCAGCAUCGAAGUCCUCGACUCGCAUUAGAAAUCUCCAAUUUUCUGUAUAUAUAUUGAGCAUGAAACUUAUUCAAAUGAACUCUUUGUUAGACUCAAUUUUGAAUCCAAAUAGGAGUUCACGAUCGAAUCGUACAAAUCUCAAUAUAUUUUGGAGUCAAUUUUUUUCAAAUCAACUAAGGGAUGUAUUCUUAACUUUAUUUCCUCUGUAUCAGGGCAUAUUAACGACGGAAGCAACGCUGAUAUUGCCGACGAUCACUAUCAUCGCUACUUGGUACUACACAUUCAAAAAGAAAACAUAAAUUUGUUAAAUGACCAUGCACUAUUACUUGUUUACUAAACACUUAAUGUAUCACCACACCAUUUUGUAUCCAUUUAUGUAAGGCUUAUAAGACCUGCUCUGAACAGGAAGAUAUUGAGUUGAUGCAUUCACUCGGCGUCAACGCUUACAGAUUCUCAAUAUCAUGGUCGCGAAUCCUUCCAAGUGAGUUUCGUCGAGCCAUAGAAAUCUAUUGAAAUGUGGAGACAUUAAUUUUGACUUAAAAAUUUCGUUCUUUUUUUUUUGCAGGAGGUCGGUUUGGAGAUGUUAAUCCAGUGGGAGUAGCCUUUUACAAUAGUCUUAUUGACGCCCUCGUCAGUAAAGGUAAUUAUGUGAUACGACGAAUAAGCUAGCUAGUACAUAGCUACAACAAAAUCAAAUAUCUUUUUUCUGUCUCUGACCGUCAGUCGCUAAUUUCUUCAAGCAGGAAUACAACCAUUUGUUACAUUAAACCAUUUCGAUGUCCCGCAUGAACUCGAAGUUCGAUAUGGUGCAUGGUUGAGUCCAGAGAUAAAGUAUACAAUAUACAAUAAGCAUUGAUCUUCCAAUUUUAACUUUUAAGCGACACUAACGAUUCGUCAUUUGAGUAAAAUUCACCUUUCUUGUUUUCUGAAAUUUCCAGGAAAGAUUUUGCCUACUUUGCAGAAGUAUGUUUCAGGGAAUUUGGCGAUCGAGUUAAGUUUUGGACUACGUUUAAUGAGCCAAACCUUAUGAUUAAAUUUGGUUAUAUCAUUGGAAGGUAUCCUCCCGGUCGAUGUUCCAAACCUUUCGGGAAUUGUGGUCUUGGAAAUUCGUCAUUGGAACCGUACAUUGUAGCACAUAAUAUUUUACUGUCUCAUGCUAUCACGGUCGGUAUAUACAGAUCAAAAUACCAGGUACUUACUAUAUAUGAUUUUCAUUACAAUAUGCACACUGGUUUACAUGCUUUUUGCCCUUUCGUGUUGUAUACAGUUCUCGUAAGUUGUAUAUGAUUUCUAAUUUGUGUCCUCUUUAAAGGCCAAACAAGGUGGUUCUAUUGGAAUUGUGAUUAGCACAAUAUGGUAUGAACCACUGACAAAUACGACAGCGGAUCAUUUAGCUGCUCAAAGGGCUCGAUCAUUCGAAAAUGCAUGGUAAUAAUCUCUCUCUCUCCUGAAAUUUUAUGAUGAUAUGAAGGGCAUGAGUUAAGAAAUGUUUGUGACUUCAGUUAUGUAUACAGUUCCUAAUUAAUACAGUAAUAAGCUUAUUCCUCUUUAUGCGAUGAAUUAAGAAAUUGAAGCCACUUAAGUUGCUAGUUUAGUGGUUUUUAUUUUUUUUUUUUUCAUUUGUUGAACCUAAGAAAUAUAUCUACUUUUCGCGCUAUAUGUUAUUAUAUAUAACUUAAGUAGUAAUAUUGUUCUUGUUGGAGGUUUCUGGAUCCUUUAUUCUUUGGUGAUUAUCCUUCUGAAAUGCGCGAAAUAUUGGCUUCGAGUUUACCAACAUUCACUUCAGAAGAGAAAAAACUGCUGCAGAACAAAUUAGACUUCAUCGGCAUUAACCACUACAUGGCUCUGUAUGUCAAGGAUUGCAUGUUCUCUUCAUGCGCAUUGGACGGCUACAACGGAAACGCUUUAGUGUUCGCUACUGGAGAGAGAAAUGGCAUACCAAUCGGGGAACAGGCACGAGUUCUGACACUGCAAUCUCGAAACUUUUUUGCAAUUUUACGCGCGAUUCAUCCCUACAAGUAUGUACCUGCGAAGCAGCGUCAGCUGCACAAUUGAUGACAUUAACUUUUCUAAAGAAAUACAAAAUGUCGCAGACUGGGAUGCCGCGCGCCUACGUCGUUCCUGACGGCAUCGAGAAGGCGGUCACGUACAUGAAGCAAAGAUAUAACAACACGCCAAUGUAUAUUACUGAAAAUGGUAAAUACAGUAGAACAAGCGUGCAUGCUUUACGUCGUCUGAUAACAAAGCAAUCAAAACUAGUUGUUCGCUCGGAUUUAGUUGCACAUAUGUACAUGAUCGAGUUCCCAGAACCAAUUUCGUCUUAUUGUAGUUAAUUUGAACAGAUUCCCUGGAUCAUACGAAGCAGCAAUACAUACUGACGUUUUGUGUUCUUCUGUCAGGUUAUGCUCAGCAGAUCAAUAGCAGCAUCACGGUAAACAAGUUAAUCGAUGACGUCGAAAGAGCGAAAUAUAUACAUGACUAUCUUGCUUCUCUGUCGUCGGCCAUCAGGUAAUCCUUAGGCCGAGAAAUGCCCUGUGUUUAAACUAUUACUGCAGCGCAGUUAAGAUAUGCAUUGGCUCGUAUCUGUACAAUUUCACAGCAUGAGUGUUUCUGAAAUACACGAGUGUUUCUGCAUGCAUGACACUUUAGUUCUCAAGCUUUAAUUUGUUUUAAUUUGUGGUUCGAACCUUGUAGAUCACUGCAAAUCACUGCAAAUAAGUGUUAUAGUCCAAUUUAAUUGACUAAACGCUGAUACAAUUCUAAUGUUGUAGUAAUUGCCGCAUCACUUACUAUUGCAUUAUCACGUCACUACCACAUUAACACCACAUCACCAUUCAGUCACCCCAAUUGGUUUGUGGGACUUAACUUAUUAUAAUUUAAAAAGUUUGAACUAGAAAACAACGAAUGAACGUUCGAGACCGAAAGUGUCGAGCGCCUCAUAAUUUGAGGAUAGUUUGGCCUUGCAUUUUUCGCCUUCAAAUUAAAUUUGGAUCAGAUGCAGAUUUAGUACAUAAAUGUGCAUGAGCAUCUAGUUUAUCAGUAAUGUUCAAUGUAUACUUCUAAAAAUUGUAUGUAUUUGUAAUCUCUGAUGCAGGGAAGGAGCUGAUGUUAGGGGCUAUUUUGUGUGGUCUCUGAUGGACAAUUUUGAAUGGUUAUUUGGUUACACUUUAAGAUUCGGACUCCACUAUGUGGAUUUUAAGACACAAGAGAGGAUACCCAAGUUAUCUGCUAGAUGGUACAAGAAUUUUCUGGAAGGUUCCAAUUUAAGGACUAACUGGGACUUCAAUUUACAAGAAGAUUCAAGUACUUAUUAGUCAAAUUUUGUACACUAGGUUAAUGCAUUUUAAUAUAGAUAUAUAUAUAUAUAUAUAUAAGUGUGUGUGGUAUAUUGUUGAAUUUGAUUAUGGUUUGAAAAUACCCAAACCUUUAACACUUUUCUAUUUGGAUCAAAUUUUCUCCCUUUUUUUGGGCUUAUUAAAACUUAGAUAGUACUUUUCAUGACAUAUUGCAAAGGGAAGUUAAUGGAUUUACUUGUGUCAGUAGUUUUUUUUUUUUUUUUUUCUGUUGAAUGAAAAUUUGUUGAACAUAAAUGUUAAAACACCGUUCUUUAAUAGUUUUAGCUUUCGAAGAAAAUAAUUAUUUCAUAUUACUUUACAUUUAGGGGCUGUUUGGUUUGACGUAAAACUGAGAAAAAAAAUUUUCAGUGGAAAAAAAUUUUCGGUGAAAAAAAAGUUUUACGUAGUCUAGUGUUUGGUUUGUAGGAAAAGAAAAAUAGUUUUUUAUGAUUUAUGUUUGGUUGAAAAGAAAAGAAAAAUUGACGAAAAGUUAUUUAAUAUAUUUUUUUAUAUAUAUUAUUAUUAUAUAAUAAUUAAUACACUAUAUAUAUUAUUAUUAUAAUUUUUAUAUAUAAAUUAAAUAUAUUUAAAAUUAUAAUAAAUAUAUUACAUAAUAUAUAAGAGUUAUAUAUUUAAAAAUAUGAAUAGAAUAAUUAUAAAUUUAAUAAAUAAAUAAUUACUAGCUAAUAAUAUUUUUAUAUAAAAAACUAAAUGAAUAUAUAAUAUACAACAAAUUAUAACAAUAUAUAUAUAUUAUAUAAUAGAUAUAUAUAUAUAUAAUAUAUAUAUAUAUAAUAAAUCUACGAGCUUCCUAAUCUUUUAAAAGUACAAUAUUGUACUAUGUAAAGUUUUAUCGACACCUUGAUUAAGGGAUGUAAUUGAUUACGGAUGAUGCCCCAUAGAGGAUGGCUGGUUCAGAUUGAUCAAUAUUGAGUGCGUGGUACUUUUACAAGCACAUAUAUAUAUCUCUAAUGGGAGGGAGGUCUACCGUGGACCUCCCUCUCACGCGGUCCACGAGGCCGAAGUGGCCUCGUGGACCGCGCCAUCCCGUUGCUCCCCUUCGCACCAAACGCCGCGAUAUUUUCCUAUAGCUUUUCAUUUUCCACGGACGGCGAGCGGAAAACGAAAAGCUAAAUUUUUCCGAAAAAUCUGUAAAAUAACUUUUCCAAAAAAAUUCUUACAGACAAUCAAACAAAGGAAAAAAAAAAUUUCAAUCGAAAAUUGUUUUUCAGAGGGAUUUUACGGGGAUCCAAACACACCCUAAACAAAAUUCAAAAUAGAAGUAAUGAAAAGACGGAAAUGUUGUUGGUACAUAAGCAAGUACUUAGGAUCAUAAGCCCAUUACAUGUUGGAUCAUAAUAUAACUAGGCCCAUUACACUUGAGGCGGAUGGUGAAGGUUGUAACGAUUCAGCCGAUUAACACUAAUAACUCGUUGAGCGCACAUCACUGACCGAAAAUGCUUAAACUUAGUUCUUAGUCCAGUUCUUAAUAUUGAAAUUUAUGGUCCUUAUAUUCAACCAUCUCACAUUUCGGAGAAGUAAAGCGGCUCUAAUACUAAUAAAUGUAGUGACCUACACUAUUAGCACUAAUAAUUUAUUUACUUAAACCACACACUGAUACAAAAUAUUUAAGUCCAGUUAUUCUUAUUAAAAUUUAUAAUAUUUAUAUUUCCAUAUAUAAUUUAUUUCUCAUCUCACUAAUCAUACAUUAUAUCUAGCUAAUAUAACAGUUUUAUGUACCUAAUCUUGUACUGUUGAAAGGAAACUGGGAUUGUCAAAAUAAUAUUUACAAUUGUUGGAGCAAAAUUAUUCAAAACACUAUUAGAUACAGUAUAUGUGCUUUGACAAUAAUAAAUAUGUUUUAUGCAAUAUUAUUUUUCUUGUUAAAUCCAAUUAGGGCAUGUUUAAUUGUUUCAUUGAAACUGAAUAUUUUGGGUUGAAGUGGAGUUCGGUGAAAACUAUUUCUUUUUCGCUGUUUGUUUCGUAGUUAUGAAAGUAAAGUUUUAUUAGUGUAUGAUGUAAAACUAUAAUUUAUGUAUAAAUAAUAAAUAAUUUAAUAAAUAAAAAUAAUAUAAUUAUAUUUUUAUAUAAUUAAAAUUUAAUUUAAAAUAACUAUAUUAUUUUUUAUACAUAAAUUAUAGUAAUAAAUACAACAAUAAAAUUAUAAUGUAAAAAAAUAUUAAUACUUAAUUAAUCAAGUUUUAUCAUAUUUUAAUUGUACAAACUAAAUAAAAAAAAUAUUAAAACUUAACUAAUCAAUUUUUAUCAUAUUUUAAAUAUGCUAACUAAAUAAAAGAGUAAUUAAUACUGUAAUUAAAUAUAUUUAAAUAUAACUAUUUUUACCUAGUUUCUCUAUCUCUUCUCACCGUAAUUGAUUUUGGGACACGAUGGGCCAAAAUCCAUUAGUCGUCUCAGGUUAACUCAAAUUUUGAUCAUAAUUUUUUUUACGACCAACCAAAUAUCGAAAGUCACCAUUUAUGGCGUAGAUAUAUACUGAGAUAGGGCCUCACUAAAAUUAUUGUACCUUGCCUAGAAACAAAGUUAAUUUAUAUUACAAGAAUCAAGAGGAAUUAACAAUAAAAAUUUUAUAAAAAAUAAAUAAAAAAUAUUAUUUUACUUUUUAAAAUAUUUUAAAAGAUAAUGUAUAGUUUAUUUUUCAGCCAAAAAAAUUAUUUUAACUCAUUUAAUCGGUUAAUUCGAUCGAUUCGAACGAUCGAUUUGAAUUUGAAAAGUUAAUUAGACACUCGAACUGAACACAAAAAAAUUCAGAAUCUUAGAUCAAAUCAAAUCAUUUAAGCUGAUCGAAAUACAUUAAAACCGAAUCUUAUUGGCUAAAUUAGACCGAUUUGAUUCGAUACAAAUACGAACAAGAUAUAUUUAACAAAAUAAUAAGUAAUAAAAAAAAAAAAAAAGGAGCACACAUGCAUGCAUACACACGCCUCCUCUCUUAUUCACCAUGAGAAGAACCUAUAGCAUCAACACAGUGUUCCUCCUCAAUAACCAAAUACGUACAUAAGAACAAGCUCAAACAAAAUUAAGAUAUAUAUAUUUAUAUGUUAUAUAUAUAUACCAUCUCAAAUGAAGGUGAUGGAUAUGGAGCUCCUCACUGUGUGCUUGUUGGAGACCCACCUGAGCUGCCCCUCGGCCACGGCCCCGGUCCGGCCCUCGACGUCGUCGCCCGUCGUGAAGUAGACGUCGAACACCGCCGUCUCGUUCGCCCCCGAGAACUCGAGCCUGUCCGGGAACACGCUCACCGCCACCCCCUCCGGAGCGUCGACCGCGGCGGCGUAUGCCUCCCCGGGCUCCCCGACGUUCCUCACCGUCCGCGUCACCGUCUUCUGAGCGUUCGCCCCGAUCGCAACCACGAUCGUCGGGUAGUUCAGCUCCUCCGCGGCGAUCGCGGCGACGCUCGCGCACUCGACGCCGGUUCGGGCGAUCGAUGUCACUUGUCGGUCGGUGUAGCCGAGGCCGCAGAGGUAGGCGAUGUAGUCGGAGAACCAUAGGUCGUAGACGAGCCCCGGGUCGUCGGCCUUCGUCGGAUUCACGUGCCCGGCCCCCGUGGCGAGGUACUGGGCGGGUUGCAGCCCCUCGUCGGAGAUGAGAUUGCCGCUGCGGUCAAGGGUGUCGGCCGACGUCAUCAUCGCCGAUUUGAUCGCCGCGGGGGACCAGUCGGGGUGCGACGCCUUCAGCAGCGCGGCGAUCCCGGCGAGGUGGGCCGCCGCCGGCGACGUCCCAGAGAUCAUGUUAAAUGUCGCGAUUGAUUCGUCGUUCGUCGGGUUGCUACUUGCGCCGACGCUUUUCGGCCACGCCGCGACGAUGUUCACGCCGGGGCCGAUGAUGUCGGGCUUCAGCACGCCGUUGUUGGCCGCGCUCGGCCCCCGCCCCGAGAACGCCGCGACGGCGGGGGCAGCUUGCGGGGUCCCGUAGAGCGUCCCUGCGAAAGAGAUUGCCGCGGUCGGCGUCGGCGCCAUCUUCAUGUAGGCCUUGAGCUUGACGGCGUCUGCGUAGCUGACGUGCGCCGCCGGGAGGACGUGGGCGCGCGCCUCCGGAGUGUACAUCUCCGUCGGCCCGUUCAUGACGAUCAUCCCGACGCCGCCGGCCCUUCUGACGAUCGCCCCCUUCUCGACGCUCGUGUUGGCGCCGCCGGUCUCGCAGAGGACAAUUUUCCCCCGGACGUUGACGCCGUCCAGCGAGCCGUCGCUGCACGUCUUCGCGCGCGAUAUCCCCCGCGCACCGGGAUAUGCAAUCGGCAGCUGGGUCGCCGGGAAAUUGCCUGGUUGGUAUGCAGAUUCCCCGUAAAUCUGCUGGCCGUUGCCGAGCUUCACGGUGGACCGGACCGUCCGGUCGAUGGUGCUCGCGCCGACGGUGAGCACCCACGGCGCGUCGUUCUCCACCGAGCCCUCCCGCGGGCCCUCGUUGCCCGCCGAGGUGCUCACGAAGAUCCCCCACGCUGCCGCCGCCAUCGUGCCGAUUGCCACGGCAUCAUCGUAGAACGGCGCGGAGCGCGCGCCGAAGGAGAUCGAGAGCACGUCGACGCCGUCGGCGAUGGCCUGGUCGAUGCCUGCCAAAACAUCGCUCCCGAAGCAUGCCUUGUCGCACACCUUGUACACCGCGAGCUGCGCCCUCGGCGCAAGCCCCGCCGCACUGCCCUUCGCCUGGCCGAGCACCGAAGCGCCGUUGACAAAGCCCCCAGCAGCUGUGCUAGCAGUGUGGGUGCCGUGGCCGUCAAGGUCCAGCGGCGCGUCGCGGCACCCUCGGCUGAACCCCCUCGCUCCGAUGAGCUUGUUGUUGCAGAACCUCGUAUCGAAGUCGCAGGCGCCCUUCCAUUUCGACGGCGGGAGCGCCAUCCCUGCAUCCGAGAAGGACGGGUGGAACGGCGUGACGCCCGUGUCAAGCACGCCGAUGAUGACCCCUGCGCCGAAAUUGGACUCCUUCCAGAAGCAGUGGUCCGGUUGAAGGUCGAGGAAGCCCGGCGAGUGCGUCGUGUGGAGCUGGUACUGCUUGUCGCGGUGCGCGCGGACGAACCCCUCCCUCGACGCCAUCGCCUCCACCUCAGCUUCGGAGAGCCGGGCUGCGAAGCCGCUUAUCGCAUGUGUGUACGAGUACAUAAGGCGCUGCUCACCUCCGGCAGCAGCGGUCGGAGGGAGGAAGGUCUUGUAGUAGGUCUCACGGUCGGCGGCGGCAAGGAGGUGGGUGGUGUUAGGGUGUUUAACGUGGACGAUGUAGACGUCGCGAUCGGCGCCAUGGCCGGAGCAUCGGACGAUGGGGAGGAGCUGGGUGUGGGUGAGGAUGAGAUCAGAGUGUGAGAUGAGCAAGAGGGAGGUGAGUAAGAGUAGGUGCUUGUGAUUAGGGUUCUCCAUUAGGGAGAGAGAGAGAGAGAGAGAGAGAGAGAGAGAGAGAGAGAGAUGGGGGAGGGGAGGGAGAGGUGGUUGGGAAGGGAAUUAGGGUUAGGGUUUUGAGGUGUGGGAGAAGGGUGGUGCUUGGACGUACUUAUACAAUACGUGCAUGGGACAUGAGGGAACGAAGGUCCCAUGCACACAUCAUUGCAAAUAGAGAUUUAACAACUCGUUUCAUAAAAUAAAAAUGGAAAAGAAAAUAAAUAACGCAAACUCGGGGGCACCCUAUGGACGGGGGAAAUUACGUGAAAAUGGUCUACCACAUCAUCAGUGAGCCGGACUAAUGAAAUUCUGACACGUGCUCCCAAUCUAAUAAAAGGAGGGGGGAAAAAAAAAAAUUGGUGGUGUGCACGCACAUAAGUCAUUGCAAAUGAUUUCUACAUACUUUUAUAACCUUUUGGAAAAGAUAUGGUUUGACCUAUUAAUUUAUUUUUAAAAUAAAAAUAUAUAAAAUUUAUUUAAAUUAUAUACUAGCAUGUAUCACAUUAUCCUUAUCAUCGCAUUCCUAUUAUAUAUCACUAUUAUAUCGCAUCAUGACUCUUGUUACUAUUGUAAAUAAUAAUACCACACUAUAGCAUAAAUGUAUCAAAUUAAAGUAUGAAAAACUUUGAUUAGUGAAAGAAUAGUUUGUAAGUUUCAUAAAAUUUGUAGGGUUAUAUAGCUUUUUUUUUUUUAGGUAAACUUUAAAUACCAUCCUAUAGUUUUGCACUUUUUCACUUUAAUAUUCUGUAGUUUAAAGUGUAUCAAAUUAGUAUUCUAUAGUUUCAUUUUUGUCUUUUCGUCAACUUCUCUGUGAAUAUUUCGUUAAAUUAUAUAUAAAAAACUUCAGCUACCCUACCUAGGUUUAUCAAAUAUUCACUUUACUACUUUUUAAUUUAUACUUUAUCAUCGAUUUAACGAAAAAAAAUAAUAGAAUGUAUAAUAAAAAUAAAAUAAAAUCACAAGAUACUAAAUUAAUACAGUUUAAACCACAAAAUACUAAAUAGGAAAGUGCAAAACCACAUGGAUAGUAUUUCAAAUUUUCCCUUUCUUUAUUUAAAGCUAAUUACUAGAGUAUAUGACUCUAAGUUGACCAAGUAAAAGGAAAAAAAAAAGCUUUUGUUUAUUUAUUCCUAAUUAUUAUUUAAAAUUUUUAUAUUUAUCAUAAAAUUACCAAAAUAGGCUUCUCAACUCUAAUUCCUACUAUCCCCCACCAACACCUCCCAAAAAAAAGAAACUUUAUGUGGACAACCACGCAUCUACAUCACUAAUUAUCUACGAGAUUAGCAAGCAUAUUGGAUUCAACUUAAUCUCUAUACCGCACAAAAUGUUUCUGAGCGCCGCUCAUUUGUAAUAAUAUUCUGCAAUAAUUAGAUCCCACCUUAUUAGCCAAUUACUAGUUAUUUACUAAAUUAGCAAGCAUAUUAAAAUUCAACAAAAUCCCUAUACACACAGGAGUGCGUCUGGUAUGCUUAUGGAAGUACGGAGCGCUCCGUACUUCCACUUUGUUUUCGAUGUUCGGACUUUCAAAUCGACGACCGGCUCCGUUAGACUUGAUCUAGAGUAUUUGAAGUAUCUAGAAAAUAAAUUUUGCGAUUUUUCGAUAUCAUUUGCCUAGUGAUCGAAGUGGCUCAAAAUCAACGGCUGAAAAUAAAAAUCUUACAAAAUAUGAUGAUAUGACAUUAAAAUUUUAGAUCAAAGUUAUUGAUCUUGUUUUAUAUGAUAUAAAAAAUUUUCUAUCAAAAUUUCAUGUGAUUUGAAUAUUUCUACACCAUUAAACUUGCAACCGGCUUACCACGGCCUUUAAAAUUAUUGAUUUUGAGCCCCUUCGAUCACUAGACAAAUGAUAUCGAAAAAUCACAAAAUUUAUUUUCUAGGUACUUCAAAUACUCUAGAUCAACUCUAACGGAGCCGAUCGUCAAUUCGAAAGUCCGAACAUCAAAAAUAACUUGGAAGCACGGAGGGCUCCGUGCUUCCAUAAGCAUACGAGCCCACUCAUACACACAGAAUGAUUACGCUGCUCAUUCAUAUCAGAAUACAUAUGAGUGACAUAUGAGUAAUACAAUCACACCUUAUUGGCCAAUCUAAUAGACCAGGUUCACUGAAUCCUCUUCGCCACUGUACAUGGGAACCUGCUUCAAUUGUCCUCUACCUGAUAAUAUUGUGCAAUAAUUAGAGAAUUUUUUUUUUCUUUUCCUUUUUAAGUGAAUUAAAGGACCUCGAGAUAAGCUUUCCACAUGUAUUUCAUUUUAGAAGCAAUAAAAUAUUCCUUGCACCAAUCAUUCCUCAGAAUAAGCUAUUUUAUAUGAGAAAUAUAAAGUGUGCAUUACAAAAUAAAUUUCACAUGAAAAAAUUACUAAGGAAUCAUGAUACACACUUAAGAAAAUGAGACAAUGAGCAAUUUAAAGUUAAAUAAUAUUGAGUACUAAUCAGAAAAGAAUAUUGGUUAUAGUUUUCUCAAGUUUUUGAAACCAAAAAAAAGAUUGUUUCACAUUAUAUUAACCUGCUAUUAAAGCAAGGGAUUUUUAAUUCAAAUUCUGUCAAGCUCUUAGUCUCAUUUAAUAUCCUCCCAUUUAACUUAGGCCUACAUCUUUAGCUUACAAAAUGUGCUUAAUCCAAAUACAAGUUCUAAGCUUUUGUAAAUACAUGACUGUUUCUAUGUUACUUUGUUUUUAUAAAUCAAUCAAAUAAGAGGAGUUAGUUAUCACUAUCAUUCAAAAAGGUUAAUCAUGUGAAACAUUUGACAUAUGGUAUGUUAGCAUAGUGAGUGAAUAUCAAAGCAAAAAAAAUACAGAAUAAGUGACUAGUUGCAGUAAAGACCAUGAAGCAGAGUUUUUUUUAUUGUUAAGUCCAUUAAGAUUAUCAAGUGGUUUUUAGUUAUAGCUUAGUGUUUUUAUUUCUUAAAUCAUGACAGAGUAUGAAAGAGAGUCCUAUGUCAAAAUUAAACAUCCAAAGGUUUUUUUAUCUUACAUGACUUCAAUAUAGUAAAUGUCAAUGUAAUAUACUGCAUGUAAGCAAUGGCUAGUCAAAUGCAAAUUGGUAGAAUCUGAUUACUAUGUUUAACAAUCUGAUUAUUAUGCACACUCCAAAAGAUAACAUACCCUAUAUCAGAAUACAACAGUACAGAAAAAGUCUAUAAAUGCAUUAGUUGAUGAAGCUCCUUGAGGACCCAGGUUUGUUACUGAAACCAUCUUUUACAGAGCACUAAAUAAUUUAAUGUAGUUGGAUAUUUUUGAACACUACUGAAUCAAUAGCCAGAGGGCUCAAUUCUCGUACAAAAAAUAUAUAUAAUUGAAUAUAUCUGGAACAUAAUUUCUAUAAAGAAACUGAGAAAAUCUUUCUCGAUAUCUCAAAUUGGGACUCAGUUAUGGAGGACAGGGCUCAAUGAUGAAGACAUUUAAAAUGGUGCGAAAAGAAAAUGAUUGUUAUCGAAUCCGAGGCGAAUGAGCUUGUCCUCUGUAUUAAACUAUGGAGAGAAUUUGAAAACAAGGGGAAACAAUACACAGACAUCAUGACAGAGUGGAACACAUUCUCUGUGGUGGGAGUUUCAGUUCAUAUCAGGACCUAAAUCACUUAUUAUGCCAAUCUAAUAUGUUUGGCCACAACACAUAGGAUGCCAAGGCAUUUGAAAGGUACAUUACUGAUUAAAUAGAAAAUGAAAACUAUUGUGAGAAAAAUGUGAUGUAAGAGAUGCCACUCUGUUUACCACCUGGGACUAAUGACAACCUCCUUUUGUCCCUAGAAAGAUAAAUAAAGAAAUAAUUGUAUCGAAGCGUUGCAACUUUGGUGUAAAUAAGACUAGAAAAGCAAAUUUUCACAUAUUGCUUCCUAUGGAAAUGAAAUCGGCUUAUAUGAGAGAAGGAUAAUGCCAAAAAUCACACCCACAAAUGCUCUUAUCCCUAAUCCUCAUUAUUUGAUGAAUUGCUGGUAUUCUAGUGUAAGAUAAUCGCUUGCGCUAAAUAGAGAAUUUCUCUAUCACAAUCAAAGCUGUCCCGACCCUACUAACAUGGUCUGAAAAGAAUGUAUUAGCUAACAUGCAGUCGGCAUAGCACGUCGAUAGUCAAGCCGCAUACAGAUGUGUCGUAAACAACCUUGGAUUCCCUAUGUAGAUUGCUCAAAUAUGUAUAGACCUGUCUAGAUGAUAGAAGCAUGUGUAUAGUUAUUGGUGCAUUAUAUUUUCACCUUAAAUUACUUUUUAAGUAACUAAACUGGUGCAUUGAGAGGCUGGAAACAUCAUUUGAGUGAUCAGAAUACGGACACAAUUUGAAGUGAGAUGUAAAAUACAGUCAUUCAGAACAAACUCAUUGAGGGUAAUGCUCAUCUUUUAAUCAUGCUUACUCAAUCAUACAUAGCAGAACCACUUAAAUGAUGUUGAUGAACAGCAUUCGUGCAACGAAUUCAUUAGCAAAAGGCUGAUGAUACACCAUGCAUCAAGUUCGUUUGGAAGAGUACUAAAUAAGAGAAACAUGCUCCCUAUUAAGAAGCUUAAAACUGACAGAUUCAUUCUAUGCACAGCUUAAAACUGAGUCAGUGCCAUUCCAAACCUCCCACGGUGGUGGAGCCCACUCCUUCCCAUACUUCCUUGUGACCAACUUCUUCACUAUCAACGCCUUCCCGGUCACAGUCCCACCAUCCAUGUCCAUUUGCAUCUGCAAGCAAGUUUUCCACAUUGUAAUCAAAGAUCAUAACUUUUUUGGAAUUGCAGUGCUAAGAGAUCAAUCACACUUCCAAUAGAUCUGAGAAGCAUAAUUGCGACAGCUUACAGUGGUUGUAAAGGGGUUUGUAUCUUUCAGUGUUGGAUUUGAAGCCUCUUCUCUUUGGGCGAGGCUUUGGGUCAUCACCUAGAACAACCAAGGAAUUCGGAGCAGCAUCUUUCUCACCAUAUCCUAAGAAUUACAGAACAAACUAAUGUAAUUUCAUGUCCUCACUACUAAUUGUUUGGCCUUCUUUCUACUUCUACUUUCAGCUACAAUCACCUCUAACAAAUUUUACUAGACAAAAAAAAAAGUAUUAAGGAAAUAUUAAUACAAUGCUUCUUCUAAUAACACUACUCAACAUUAAAGCAUUUGGACAAACAGAAAAGCCCAAAUCCUAAUAUGAUUCAAAGACCCCUAUUUGGAGCUUACGAUUUUAUUGGAGAAAGAAAAAGUAUGAAGUUUUGAUGUUAAUACAGUGCUUCUUCUAAUAACACUACUCAACGUUAAACGGCACUACUUCUAAUAACACUACUCAACGUUAAACGGCACUACAUCAUACAACAAGAUAAGCAGAAAGUGAAAGUAAUGAGCAAUAGUAAUGCAGGAAAAAAUAAAAUCAGAUCAAAACAACUUUCCCCUAAUAGAGAUGCUUAGGUUCAAUUAGUGAUAAUGUACGGCGACUAAUAAGGAAAUCAAAUAGUUUAUUUUCAUCCCUAGCACAUACCUAAAGAAUGACCAAAAGGGUUUUUCCUUUUCCGCAAAACCCUGCCGGUUCCACCAAAUUUUGAUAGAAACUCAUCACAAUCUCCAUCUUUUUCCAUCCUAACAUCGGCCUCUUCUUUCACCGGGCAAUUGAAUCGCUUAAAAGCAGCUUCAUUGAGGAUCAAACCAACACCCGCGUCAUCCGUUUUACCUUCCGAGCCCUUGCCCCCGAAUCCAAUCGACGAAAACGAACUCUGCUUCUCCUACAAAGGAAGCAACCAAUUCAUCAACCAAAAAGAACAAAUCUUCGCCUCAUUGCAAGAAUUAUGAUUCCGCACAAAGCAGAAGCAAGCUGCUACCUUAAUCGUUUUCGCGGCCGUUUUGACCAACUUCCGAUCCAAAAACUCGGCGAGCGAGACUGGUUGCUUCGGAGGCUUCGGCACUCCACCCACAUCGUCACCGCUUAAAAUACGAACACAAACACACACAUACAAAUACAUACAUGUUCUCUUCUUUUAGGCAUUUUAACAAACAGGUGAUGGGCGUGAAAACGGAAUUAGAACGAGACAGGGAUUGAUUAGAGGAGAUUUUGAGCACCUGGGUUUGGAGAGGAAGCGAGAUCGGAGAGAGGAUUGGCCAAAUGGCCUAAUGCUUGUGGGAAUUUUGAGCUUCAUUUUGGGGAGGAGAUCUCCGUUUGGGCUACGAAAAUGCGUUUACCGUGGGGUUUCAAUCCUUUUUGGCGCGGGAUUUUUAAAUUUGUGUCGAGUUCCCGAUACGUUUGGCGCCAAAUUUUCACACCAGGGUGGACGGGUUGAACCGAACCGGACCGGACCGAAAUGGACCGGAAGGAAACACUCCGGUUGGCUCGUUUUGCUAUGUCAUUUGAAAACGAGGGUGUAAGUGGGAAAGUUAUUUGGGCCCUAAAUAUUUAUCUUUAUUAUUUAAUUUAUUAUAAAUUAAAUUUAACUAUAAUUUUAUUUUCUAAAAAUAUGGUAAUUGACUUUGUCCUAAAUGUUGCUAAAGUCAAUUACGAGAGAGAUAGAGAGAAAAAAAGUUUCUGUUAUAACUGGAUUUCUUAGCCCUCCAAAAAAUGGGUGGGGUUAGCUAACCCCACCUCAAAUAAAUUAUUCCGGAUUAACUAACACCACCUAACCCCACCAAACUCCAACCAAACAUUAUUUUCUAUUCAUAAUAACUCACUAUCUUUCUUAUCACACCUACUCGAACUAAUCAUUAUCCUUCUUUAUCAAUCAUUAUCUUCUUAUCCCACCUACUCCAACCAAACAUUAUUUUUCAUUAUUCUAGACUAACUCCAACCCCCAACCAAACACAAAAAAACUUUAACCCCACUUUAACCCUGAACUUAACUCUAUCUUUGGAAUAGCUACUUUUUCCUUAACCCCGAACCAAACGGAGGCUUACGUGUUAGUACAAAAUUCUUCUACCGAAAUAAAUAAAAA
rnacentral:lncRNA from 1 species